ACACAUGUAGUUUAUACAAUCAGAUGUUUUAUUAUAAAGUAAAUUAGCCAACAAUGUAACGGCCUAAAAGUCCAGCUGUAAUGAUUAGACCAUUAAACACACAACUAGAUGAUUGACAUUACUG